rnacentral:rRNA from 1 species
UAAUACCAGCUCCCCGAGUGGUGAGGACGAUUAUUGGGCCUAAAGCGUCCGUAGCCGGCUUGGCAAGUUUCCCGUCAAAUCCGACGACAUAAUCGCCGGACCGCGGGAAAUACUACCACGCUAGGAGGCGGGAGAGGCCGGCGGUACUUACGGGGUAGGGGUGAAAUCCAUUAAUCCCGUGAGGACCACCAGUGGCGAAGGCGACCGGCCAGAACGCGCUCGACGGUGAGGGGCGAAAGCUGGGGGAGCGAACCGGAUUAGAUACCCGGGUAGUCCCAGCCGUAAACGAUGCGGGCUAAGUGUCGGGGUGGCUAUCGAGCUACUCCGGUGCUGCAGGGAAGCCGUUAAGCCCGCCGCCUGGGGAGUACGGCCGCAAGGUUG